rnacentral:ncRNA from 2 species
CUCUUAUCGAGAGCGGCGGAGGGAUUAGGCCCGAUGAAGCCCGGCAACCUACAGGCAGUUUCUGCUUGGAAAGGUGCUACAUCCUACAGGCUCAAUGAGUCUGGAAGAUAAGAG